rnacentral:rRNA from 1 species
GUGAGGAAUAUUGCACAAUGGGCGAAAGCCUGAUGCAGCAACGCCGCGUGAGGGACGAAGGCCUUCGGGUUGUAAACCUCUUUUCUGAGGGACGAGCAAGGACGGUACCUCAGGAAUAAGUCUCGGCUAACUACGUGCCAGCAGCCGCGGUAAAACGUAGGAGGCGAGCGUUAUCCGGAUUUACUGGGCGUAAAGCGCACGCAGGUGGCUGCGUAAGUCGGACAUGAAAGCUCCUGGCUUAACUGGGAGAGGUGGUUCGAAACUGCGUAGCUUGAGGUUGGGAGAGGGACGUGGAAUUCCCGGUGUAGUGGUGGAAUGCGUAGAUAUCGGGAGGAACACCAGUGGCGCAAGCGGCGUCCUGGCCCACACCUGACGCUGAGGUGCGAAAGCGUGGGGAGCAAACAGGAUUAGAAACCCUUGUAGUCC